GGAGUAGCUCAGUUGGUAGAGCGAGUGGCUGUUAACCACCAGGUCGGGGGUUCGAGUCCCUCCUC
rnacentral:tRNA from 1 species